GUCUAUGUUUCCAGUGAAGCUGAACGUUUUUAUCUAAUUUAACUGCAAUUCUUUCUUGCCAUGUUUCGCUUCCGAUGUUAUAGCAUUGAACUAAUAUCCACACUCGCGGAAAGCAGCCUGUUCACACACACGGACCAGCCUAUCAGUCUGUGAAUUUUCAGUUCUCCUAGUGCCACGAAAGCGGGAACGGACUAAUUUGCUAUGCCGCGCAAUUACCCCUCUCUCAGGAUUGUCGUAUUUACUGUCGUAAUGUUUCUGCUGCUGUCCAGCGCCGCAGGAAAAGGUUGCAUUGCCGAAGAUUGUGCUCAUGAAUGUUCGAGUAAUAAAUUUCACACGGGCAGUUGCGCAGAAGGCAGCUGCGUUUGCAGCUCGAAGCACCGAAAUAUUCGAAUGAGUAGGCAACAGAUUUUGUUGUAAGGGAAAUGUCUUAAGGUAAUCGCCCAUUACGGAGUAAUUUUCUGAUGCUAUACCGCGUGCCUCCUGUAUCAAUAUAACAAAAACACAAAAAUAAAGCUGUAAAACAAUAAAAAGAAACAACAAUGUGGUGCUUA